rnacentral:misc_RNA from 1 species
AACUUUUAGCAAUGGAUCUCUUGGCUCCUGCAUCGAUGAAGAACGCAGCGAAACGCGAUAGGUAUUGUGAAUUGCAGAAUUCCGUAAAUCAUCGAAUCUUUGAACGCACAUUGCGCCCUUUGGUAUUCCGAGGGGCAUGCCUGUCUGAGCGUCAGUUUAACCUUCACACGACGGAUUGCCGUCGGAGUGCGCUGAGCCGUGGGAGAUUCUUCCCUCGCUCGAAAUAGAUGCAACAGUGGUGUAAUAGAUAAUAUUCGCCGCCUCAAGCAUUUGAGCCUUACACGGCUCAUUAACACUUUGACCUCAGAUCAGGUAGGGUUACCCGCUGAACUUAAGCAUAUCAAUAAGCGGAGGCU